rnacentral:rRNA from 1 species
GGGUGAGUAACGAAGUGAGAAUCUGCCCUCAGGCAGGGGGAUAACGGUUGGAAACGACCGCUAAGACCCCAUAUGCCGAGAGGUGAAACAAAUUUUGCCUGAGGAUGAGCUCGCGUCCGAUUAGCUAGUUGGUGUGGUAAGAGCUUACCAAGGCGACGAUCGGUAGCUGGUCUGAGAGGAUGAUCAGCCACACUGGGACUGAGACACGGCCCAGACUCCUACGGGAGGCAGCAGUGGGGAAUUUUCCGCAAUGGGCGAAAGCCUGACGGAGCAAGACCGCGUGAGGGAAGAAGGUCUGUGGAUUGUAAACCUCUUUUGACAGGGAAGAAGUUCUGACGGUACCUGUCGAAUCAGCCCCGGCUAACUCCGUGCCAGCAGCCGCGGUAAUACGGAGGAGGCAAGCGUUAUCCGGAAUUAUUGGGCGUAAAGCGUCCGUAGGUGGAUGUUCAAGUCUUCUGUCAAAGCGCGGAGCUUAACUCCGUAAAGGCAGAGGAAACUGAGCGUCUAGAGUGCGAUAGGGGC